rnacentral:rRNA from 1 species
CACGAACGCUGGCGGCAGGCUUAACACAUGCAAGUCGAGCGCCCCGCAAGGGGAGCGGCAGACGGGUGAGUAACGCGUGGGAAUCUACCCAUCUCUACGGAAUAACGCAUGGAAACGUGUGCUAAUACCGUAUACGUCCUUCGGGAGAAAGAUUUAUCGGAGAUGGAUGAGCCCGCGUUGGAUUAGCUAGUUGGUGGGGUAAAGGCCUACCAAGGCGACGAUCCAUAGCUGGUCUGAGAGGAUGAUCGGCCACACUGGGACUGAGACACGGCCCAGACUCCUACGGGAGGCAGCAGUGGGGAAUAUUGGACAAUGGGCGCAAGCCUGAUCCAGCCAUGCCGCGUGAGUGAUGAAGGCCCUAGGGUUGUAAAGCUCUUUCACCGGUGAAGAUAAUGACGGUAACCGGAGAAGAAGCCCCGGCUAACUUCGUGCCAGCAGCCGCCGUAA